rnacentral:misc_RNA from 1 species
UCCACCUUUUUGGGCAGAAACUGAUUCAGGGAUCUUCAGACAGAUUUUAUACGGCAAGCUGGAUUUCAACUCUGAACCAUGGCCCAACAUUUCAGAUAGUGCUAAAGAUUUAAUUAGGAAAAUGCUCACAAGGGAUCCAAAGGAGAGGAUCCCUGCCCACGAAGUUCUUUGUCACCCAUGGAUUGUAGACGACACAGUGGCCCCUGACAAGCCUAUAGACUCUGCAGUUUUGUCUCGGCUAAAGCAGUUUUCAG